rnacentral:rRNA from 1 species
GACGAACGCGGCGGCGUGCCUAAUACAUGCAAGUAGAACGCUGAAGGAGGAGUUUGCUCUUCUGGAUGAGUUGCGAACGGGUGAGUAACGCGUAGGUAACCUGCCUGGUAGCGGGGGAUAACUAUUGGAAACGAUAGCUAAUACCGCAUAACAUUGACUAUUGCAUGAUAGUCAAUUGAAAGGUGCAAAUGCACCACUACCAGAUGGACCUGCGUUGUAUUAGCUAGUUGGUGGGGUAACGGCUCACCAAGGCGACGAUACAUAGCCGACCUGAGAGGGUGAUCGGCCACACUGGGACUGAGACACGGCCCAGACUCCUACGGGAGGCAGCAGUAGGGAAUCUUCGGCAAUGGACGGAGUCUGACCGAGCAACGCCGCGUGAGUGAAGAAGGUUUUCGGAUCGUAAAGCUCUGUUGUAAGAGAAGAACGAGUGUGAGAGUGGAAAGUUCACACUGUGACGG